GAUGAAGAACGUAGCGAAAUGCGAUAAGUAGUGUGAAUUGCAGAAUUCAGUGAAUCAUCGAAUCUUUGAACGCACAUUGCGCCCCCUGGUAUUCCGGGGGGCAUGCCUGUUCGAGCGUCAUUUCACCACUCAAGCCUCGCUUGGUAUUGGGCAACGCGGUCCGCCGCGUGCCUCAAAUCGACCGGCUGGGUCUUCUGUCCCCUAAGCGUUGUGGAAACUAUUCGCUAAAGGGUGCUCGGGAGGCUACGCCGUAAAACAAACCCAUUUCUAAGGUUGACCUCGGAUCAGGUAGGGAUACCCGCUGAACUUAAGCAUAUCAAUAAGCGGAGGA
rnacentral:misc_RNA from 1 species